rnacentral:misc_RNA from 1 species
GAUGAAGAACGUAGCGAAAUGCGAUAAGUAAUGUGAAUUGCAGAAUUCAGUGAAUCAUCGAAUCUUUGAACGCACAUUGCGCCCGCCAGUAUUCUGGCGGGCAUGCCUGUUCGAGCGUCAUUUCAACCAUCAAGCCCCCGGGCUUGUGUUGGGGACCUGCGGCUGCCGCAGGCCCUGAAAAGCAGUGGCGGGCUCGCUGUCACACCGAGCGUAGUAGAUUUUAUCUCGCUCUGGGCGUGCUGCGGGUUCCGGACGUUAAACCACCCUUUUAACCCAAGGUUGACCUCGGAUCAGGUAGGAAGACCCGCUGAACUUAAGCAUAUCAAUAAUCGGAGGA